ensembl:scaRNA small Cajal body-specific RNA 2
ACUUAUUGAAGUCAACCAGGAUGUGAGGUCAUUGAGUGAAUGUCUUCGCGUGUGUGUGGAGUGAGUGUGAGAGUGGUUGUUUGUGUGCGUGAAUGUUUGUGUUUGUGUGAGUGAAUGGGAUAAUUUUAAAAAUCUACACCGUGAUCUUAUUUGAUCUGGUCCGAGUUGUUGCCCUGCUCGGAUACAGAGAUGAUAAUAACCGACUCGUGAGCUUCUGUAGCGAUGACCGUGAGGCUUUUCUAAACUCGGGGCAUCCACAGUUGAAACUGUGGUAAGAAAUGAUGAAUCAAUCAGAUAUACUAGAACAGACAGGGUGCUGGAUCUCGGUCCGUUAUGCCCUGUUUGUUCACUGAGUAUAACGGCGAUUCUGAUCUCA